UACGGAGGGUGCAAGCGUUGCUCGGAAUUAUUGGGCGUAAAGGGUAGGUAGGUGGUCUCGUUUGUCUGGGGUGAAAGCCUUGAGCUUAACUCAAGAAGUGCCUCAGAAACGGCGAGACUAGAGUUCUGGAGAGGGUCGUGGAAUUCCCGGUGUAGCGGUGAAAUGCGUAGAGAUCGGGAAGAACAUCGGUGGCGAAGGCGGCCUGCUGGGCUGUUGCUGACGCUGAGGCGCGACAGCGUGGGGAGCAAACAGGAUAGAUACC
rnacentral:rRNA from 1 species